GUCUCCUUCGUAUUAACACAGAAGAACACACCGAACUCUUCUCCCCCUCCCUCUCUCCCUCUGUCUCCCCUCUUCGUCGCCGGAUCGCUCUUGCUGUGAUUGGAUCUCCGAGGAUCUCAACUCUCCGGACCAGCAGCGAUAUCGAUCGAAAAUGCCUCUCAGACUCGAAAUCAAGAGAAAACUUGCUCAACGGUCGGAAAGAGUCAAGUCCGUAGAUCUACAUCCAACAGAACCAUGGAUCCUAACAAGUUUGUAUUCGGGAACAGUUUGUAUCUGGAAUUACCAGACACAGACCAUGGUGAAGUCUUUCGAAGUCACCGAGCUGCCAGUAAGGUCCGCGAAGUUCAUUGCACGCAAGCAGUGGGUUGUUGCUGGAGCUGAUGAUAUGUUUAUUCGUGUAUACAACUACAAUACAAUGGAUAAGAUUAAAUUGUUUGAAGCACACACCGAUUACAUUAGGUGUGUGGCAGUCCACCCAACUCUUCCGUAUGUGCUCUCCUCAUCUGAUGACAUGCUGAUUAAGCUUUGGGACUGGGAGAAGGGUUGGGUCUGUACUCAGAUUUUCGAAGGUCACUCGCAUUAUGUGAUGCAAGUGACGUUUAACCCAAAAGACACCAAUACAUUUGCCAGUGCAUCUCUUGAUCGCACAAUAAAGAUUUGGAAUCUUGGAUCUCCUGAUCCUAAUUUUACGCUAGAUGCCCAUCAGAAAGGCGUGAACUGUGUGGACUACUUUACAGGGGGUGAUAAACCAUAUCUCAUCACCGGCUCUGAUGAUCACACAGCUAAGGUCUGGGAUUACCAAACAAAAAGUUGCGUCCAGACGCUUGAUGGCCACACUCAUAAUGUCUCUGCUGUAUGUUUUCAUCCCGACCUUCCGAUCAUUAUUACCGGUUCUGAGGAUGGUACUGUUCGCAUCUGGCAUUCUACCACAUACAGGCUUGAGAACACAUUGAAUUAUGGUCUUGAAAGAGUUUGGGCAAUCGGAUAUAUGAAGGGCUCACGGCGUGUUGUGAUUGGUUAUGAUGAAGGAACCAUUAUGGUGAAAAUUGGACGGGAAGUGCCUGUUGCUAGUAUGGACAACAGUGGGAAGAUCAUCUGGGCUAAGCAUAAUGAAAUUCAAACUGUGAACAUUAAGAGUGUUGGAGCAGAUUUUGAGGUUACAGAUGGAGAAAGAUUGCCUCUGGCUGUUAAGGAGCUGGGAACAUGCGAUCUUUAUCCCCAGAGCUUAAAACACAAUCCAAAUGGGAGGUUUGUUGUUGUCUGUGGAGAUGGUGAAUACAUUAUUUAUACAGCCCUUGCAUGGAGAAACCGUUCAUUUGGUUCAGCACUGGAAUUUGCUUGGUCCUCUGAUGGAGAAUAUGCUGCUAGAGAAAGUACCUCAAAGAUUAAGAUCUUCAGUAAAAAUUUCCAGGAGAAGAGGAGUGUCCGGCCAACCUUUUCUGCUGAACGAAUUUAUGGUGGAACCUUGUUGGCUAUGUGCUCAAAUGACUUUAUCUGCUUCUAUGAUUGGGCAGAAUGCAGAUUAAUUAGAAGAAUUGAUGUUACCGUGAAAAAUCUGUAUUGGGCUGAUAGUGGUGAUUUAGUAGCCAUUGCCAGUGAUACAUCAUUCUACAUCCUGAAAUACAAUCGCGAUAUAGUUUCUUCAUAUCUGGACAGUGGGAGACCUGUAGAUGAGCAGGGAGUUGAAGAUGCAUUUGAGCUGCUUCAUGAAGUCAAUGAACGUGUGAGGACUGGAAUUUGGGUUGGUGACUGUUUCAUUUAUAACAACUCUUCUUGGCGGCUAAAUUACUGCAUUGGUGGUGAGGUCACCACCAUGUAUCAUUUGGAUCGGCCCAUGUACUUGUUGGGAUAUCUUGCCAACCAAAGCCGGGUGUAUCUAAUUGAUAAAGAAUUUAAUGUCAUGGGAUACACAUUGCUUCUAAGUCUGAUAGAGUACAAGACACUGGUGAUGCGUGGUGAUUUUGAAAGGGCCAAUGCUCUUUUGCCUUCUAUCCCUAAAGAGCAUCACAACAGUGUUGCUCGUUUCUUGGAGUCUCGAGGCAUGGUAGAGGAUGCACUUGAAGUGGCCACGGAUCCUGAUUAUAGGUUCGAGCUGGCUAUUCAGCUCGGUAGACUUGAAAUUGCAAAGGAUAUAGCAACUGAGGUCCAAAGCGAGUCUAAAUGGAAGCAGUUGGGUGACUUAGCUAUGUCAACUGGAAAGUUGGAAAUGGCUGAGGAAUGCAUGAAACACGCAACUGACCUGAGUGGUUUGCUACUGCUUUAUUCUUCACUGGGAGAUGCUGAAGGAAUUUCAAAACUCGCAUCCCUUGCAAAAGAGCAAGGAAAGAACAACGUAGCGUUCCUGUGCUUAUUCAUGCUGGGUAAAUUAGAGGAGUGUCUACAGCUGUUGGUGGAAAGCAAUCGGAUACCUGAGGCUGCUUUGAUGGCCCGAUCUUAUCUCCCAAGUAAAGUUUCUGAAAUUGUUGCCAUUUGGAGAAAGGACCUUAACAAGGUUAAUCCUAAAGCUGCUGAAUCAUUGGCUGACCCUGAAGAAUAUCCUAACCUGUUUGAUGAUUGGCAAGUGGCUGUUUCUGUUGAAUCUAAAGCCGCUGAGACAAGGGGUGUCUAUCCUCAUGCAAAUGAGUACGUAAAUUAUUCAGACAGAUCGAAAAUACCUCUUGUCGAGGCUUUCAAAAACAUGCAGGUGGAAGAAGAGGAGGAAGAACCUGCGGAAAAUGGUGACUUGAGCUAUGAGGCUACUGAAGAGAAUGGAGAGCAGCAGAAUGGGGAGGAGCAGAAUGCAGAAGAAGGGAGCCAAGAAGAGGCCGUUGUGGUGGAUGCUGAUUCCACUGAUGGUGCGGUACUUGUUAAUGGCAACGAGGGCGAAGAAGAGUGGGGUACGAACAAUGAAGGAACCCCAUCGGCCUAAAAAGCAAAUUGGGUUGGACCAGUGUGAAAAUCCAAAUUUUGUCUCUGGUGAUUAAUAUAUUCUAAAUUAUUACUCAACACCACUAGUUGUGACUAGAGGAAAUCAAGUCCGGCUUCCCUACCAAGGUCUCAUAGAUGUAGCUCCAUGAGGCGAUUGUCGGGGUCAAUUGCCAUUCAUUUCCCUAGUGGUGUAUCAAUUGUAGUGAAUUGGUUUUUGUUUUUGGCAUUGGAUCACAUAGUAUAAAAGAGAGUUCCUUAGCCUUAGCGACUGUUAUGAUUUCUCUUUUCUUAGCAUAUAUUGUAUUCUUUGAGGCCCUCUUUCACCCUCUUUUCACACCAUUUGUGCCAUUGUGUAUGUAGAAGAAGUUUCAACUCGAGCGAUGACCAUUAAUCUCUCUCC